AUUGAACGCUGGCGGCAUGCCUUACACAUGCAAGUCGAACGGCAGCACGGGAGCUUGCUCCUGGUGGCGAGUGGCGAACGGGUGAGUAAUACAUCGGAACGUACCCUGAAGUGGGGGAUAACGUAGCGAAAGUUACGCUAAUACCGUAUAUUCUGUGAGCAGGAAAGAGGGGGAUCGCAAGACCUCUUGCUUUAGGAGCGGCCGAUGUCGGAUUAGCUAGUUGGUGAGGUAAAGGCUCACCAAGGCGACGAUCCGUAGCGGGUCUGAGAGGAUGAUCCGCCACACUGGGACUGAGACACGGCCCAGACUCCUACGGGAGGCAGCAGUGGGGAAUUUUGGACAAUGGGCGCAAGCCUGAUCCAGCCAUGCCGCGUGAGUGAAGAAGGCCUC
rnacentral:rRNA from 1 species